rnacentral:rRNA from 1 species
GACCGCGACCCCAGGUCAGGCGGGANUACCCGCUGAGUUUA